rnacentral:rRNA from 1 species
UACGAAGGGGGCUAGCGUUGCUCGGAAUCACUGGGCGUAAAGGGUGCGUAGGCGGGUCUUUAAGUCAGGGGUGAAAUCCUGGAGCUCAACUCCAGAACUGCCUUUGAUACUGAAGAUCUUGAGUUCGGGAGAGGUGAGUGGAACUGCGAGUGUAGAGGUGAAAUUCGUAGAUAUUCGCAAGAACACCAGUGGCGAAGGCGACUCGCUGGGCCGUUACGUAGUACACGCGAUGGCGGUGGAAAGGCGAACGGGGAAUGGGCCGAAACGGAAGG